rnacentral:lncRNA from 1 species
AUGGCGAAUGUUCAAGCCAGGAUUCUUCAUCUGGAUCUCUCUAUCAUCAUUAUUUUCCUGAUUCAUGCAGAUUAUUCAAUAUCCAAUCAAGAGCCAAUGAUUAAGCAGCACAUCAACAAAACAGUGUUUGCGGGGGAAACAGUUACACUUCACUGCAACAAAACCAAAUAUGAUGAUGAUUUCACAUGGAAAAUGAACAGCUUCGUUAUUUUUAGGCAUGACUCUGAAAGUAACAGAACAAUGAGAAACUUCAGCUCAGACAGGAUUCACAUCGACCCAGCAGCUCCAAGAGAGUUAACAAUACAACAAAUACAAGCGUCAGGAAACUACAGCUGUUACCCAGCAGCAAUAAGAUGGACAUUAACAAUAACAGUAAACACAACCAGACCAGAAUCCCUCAAACAAAUGCCGCUGUACAUCAUCAUCAUCAUCAUCAUCAUCAUAUUCAUCUGUCUGAUCAUCACCAUCAGCAUCUGCAUUCACAGUAAACUGAGGCAGAUGAAGAAAAACUCUGAUCUCUGUGAAACAGACCCGGAGGCUGAAAGUUUAUUUACCACAAAACAGGUCAUUAUUCAGCUUACAUGGGAUCUGUUAUUGAAUUCAUACAUUGUUAUACAUUUUAAUCUAAAUUCUACAACUCUGCAUGAUCUAUACAGGUGAAGAUGAUCUCUGACUGUGACAAACACACAGUAACAGCCUGU